rnacentral:rRNA from 2 species
CCGGUAAGGUGAUAUGAACCGUUAUAACCGGCGAUACCCGAAUGGGGAAACCCAGUGUGACUCGUCACACUAUCAUUAACUGAAUCCAUAGGUUAAUGAGGCGAACCGGGGGAACUGAAACAUCUAAGUACCCCGAGGAAAAGAAAUCAACCGAGAUUCCCCCAGUAGCGGCGAGCGAACGGGGAGGAGCCCAGAGCCUGAAUCAGCAUGUGUGUUAGUGGAAGCGUCUGGAAAGGCGCGCGAUACAGGGUGACAGCCCCGUACACAAAAGCGCAUGUGCUGUGAGCUCGAUGAGUAGGGCGGGACACGUGGUAUCCUGUCUGAAUAUGGGGGGACCAUCCUCCAAGGCUAAAUACUCCUGACUGACCGAUAGUGAACCAGUACCGUGAGGGAAAGGCGAAAAGAACCCCGGCGAGGGGAGUGAAAAAGAACCUGAAACCGUGUACGUACAAGCAGUGGGAGCCCCACCACCAAAGCAUUUGCUGUACCGCGUUGACGGAGCGAAGCGACGUCAAACCGAUAAAACAGCAGUGUAAAGUGAGCCGCAGGGCGCUUUGCGCGACAGCGCAAAGGCAGGCGGUUUCGCGUAGCGAAAGCGAAUGCUUUGGGGUGGGGUGACUGCGUACCUUUUGUAUAAUGGGUCAGCGACUUAUAUUCUGUAGCAAGGUUAACCGAAUAGGGGAGCCGGAGGGAAACCGAGUCUUAAUUGGGCGUUAAGUUGCAGGGUAUAGACCCGAAACCCGGUGAUCUAGCCAUGGGCAGGUUGAAGGUUGGGUAACACUAACUGGAGGACCGAACCGACUAAUGUUGAAAAAUUAGCGGAUGACCUGUGGCUGGGGGUGAAAGGCCAAUCAAACCGGGAGAUAGCUGGUUCUCCCCGAAAGCUAUUUAGGUAGCGCCUCGUGAAUUCAUCUCCGGGGGUAGAGCACUGUUUCGGCUAGGGGGCCAUCCCGGCUUACCAACCCGAUGCAAACUGCGAAUACCGGAGAAUGUUAUCACGGGAGACACACGGCGGGUGCUAACGUCCGUCGUGAAGAGGGAAACAACCCAGACCGCCAGCUAAGGUCCCAAAGUCAUGGUUAAGUGGGAAACGAUGUGGGAAGGCCCAGACAGCCAGGAUGUUGGCUUAGAAGCAGCCAUCAUUUAAAGAAAGCGUAAUAGCUCACUGGUCGAGUCGGCCUGCGCGGAAGAUGUAACGGGGCUAAACCAUGCACCGAAGCUGCGGCAGCGACACUGUGUGUUGUUGGGUAGGGGAGCGUUCUGUAAGCCUGUGAAGGUGUGUCGUGAGGCAUGCUGGAGGUAUCAGAAGUGCGAAUGCUGACAUAAGUAACGAUAAAGCGGGUGAAAAGCCCGCUCGCCGGAAGACCAAGGGUUCCUGUCCAACGUUAAUCGGGGCAGGGUGAGUCGACCCCUAAGGCGAGGCCGAAAGGCGUAGUCGAUGGGAAACGGGUUAAUAUUCCCGUACUUGGUGUUACUGCGAAGGGGGGACGGAGAAGGCUAUGUUGGCCGGG